AUUGAACGCUGGCGGCAUGCCUUACACAUGCAAGUCGAACGGUAACAGGUCUUCGGAUGCUGACGAGUGGCGAACGGGUGAGUAAUACAUCGGAACGUGCCUAGUAGUGGGGGAUAACUACUCGAAAGAGUGGCUAAUACCGCAUGAGAUCUACGGAUGAAAGCAGGGGAUCGCAAGACCUUGUGCUACUAGAGCGGCCGAUGGCAGAUUAGGUAGUUGGUGGGAUAAAAGCUUACCAAGCCGACGAUCUGUAGCUGGUCUGAGAGGACGAUCAGCCACACUGGGACUGAGACAAGGCCCAGGCGCCUACGGGAGGCAGAAGUGGGGAAUUUUGGACAAUGGGCGAAAGCCUGAUCCAGCAAUGCCGCGUGCAGGAUGAAGGCCUUCGGGUUGUAAACUGCUUUUGUACGGAACGAAAAGCCCUGGGUUAAUACCCUGGGGUCAUGACGGUACCGUAAGAAUAAGCACCGGCUAACUACGUGCCAGCCGCCGCCGUAA
rnacentral:rRNA from 1 species